rnacentral:rRNA from 1 species
AUUGAACGCUGGCGGAAUGCUUUACACAUGCAAGUCGAGCGGCAGCGCGGGGGCAACCUGGCGGCGAGCGGCGAACGGGUGAGUAAUACAUCGGAACGUGCCCAGACGUGGGGGGAUAACUACUCGAAAGAGUGGCUAAUACCGCAUACGAUCUACGGAUGAAAGCGGGGGAUCGCAAGACCUCGCGCGUUUGGAGCGGCCGAUGGCAGAUUAGGUAGUUGGUGGGGUAAAGGCUUACCAAGCCUGCGAUCUGUAGCUGGUCUGAGAGGAUGAUCAGCCACACUGGGACUGAGACACGGCCCAGACUCCUACGGGAGGCAGCAGUGGGGAAUUUUGGACAAUGGGCGAAAGCCUGAUCCAGCCAUUCCGCGUGCAGGAUGAAGGCCCUCGGGUUGUAAACUGCUUUUGUACGGAACGAAAAAGCUCUUGUUAAUACCAGGAGUUCAUGACGGUACCGUAAGAAUAAGCACCGGCUAACUACGUGCCAGCAGCCGCGGU